GAACUAAUAUACAGCUUCUCCACAUCGAGUUCUAUCAAGUGCAACAAUGGAAAGAAUUAAUAUACAGCUUCUCCACAUCGAGUUCUAUCAAGUGCAACAAUGGCGUACUCAGAAAUCGGAUCAAGUGUUGUCUCUAUAUAACAAUAAAAAAAAUAGAAUUAAAUAGUUUUUUAUUUAUAAUACCUCAUAACAAUUUUCACGUUCCGAAAGGAGUGUAUAAUAUAUUUUUGGUCGAAACUGCAAACGAAAUCUUUCUCGAUAUACACCACUAAACAAUCAUUCAAUAAUUCAUCUCCUAUUCGAUUGUAAAAUUUGUUUUUGAUACAAGUUAUUACAAAAAAUAUUUUCUCAACAAUGAUUUUAUAUAUUUAAAUUGAGAUAAUAUAUAUAAUCUAUUUUAGUAGAGUCAUAUGAGUUUUAAAUUAAUUCAAGUGGUGUUCAAAGUUCGAAUCUAACCUGUAACACCAGAGCCCCUUGGCUCCGCCUCUGAGUAUGAACAAGAAACAAUAUCAGUACAUCUGCACAUGUAGCAGGUUAUGUGUUUAGGUUUUGAUAUGAUAACUAUGCCGGAUGUUUAUCUUAAUUUGUACUCAUGCCUAAUCAAUGAUUUCUGUUUUUCCCUAAUGGAGCAGAUGUCAUAUGUUCUACAAAUAUCAGCUAGACAAAAAUGUUGGAGCAUAAUAACAAGUAGUCGUGCCGGAGUGGUUAUCGGGCAUUACUAGAAAUCAUGUGUGCUUUGCCUGCACAGGUUCGAAUCCUUUCAACCACGAUUUUUAUUUAUUCUUGCCUCAAUUUUACUUCCCAACAUCUGCGAUCUUCCUAUGUAAUAGUAGCGUGCCUAGAAUAAAUGUAUAAUUUGAUUACUUGCACUAUUACUACAUACUACUAAAUUAGCGAAUUCUUAAAAUUAUUACAUAGGAAUUUAGUGUGGCUUUACAAUGCUAUCACACCACGUGAAUAACAUCACCCAAUAUAAUAAUCGAUACAAACUUUUUUUCUACAAAUUAAAGUUAGGCGUGUUGAGCUGAAUUUAAAAGUGAAAAAUUAUAGUCCUAAACUUUGCAGUUGCUUGAUGAAUCCAAAUGAAAUCAACUUGCUUGUGAUUCUGAAGAUCUUCAAUUAAUUAGUUUCUGCAUUAAUAAUUAAUCUAGUGGUAAUGGUAUGUUUCAGUUUACAGCAACUUGUUUGUUUGUGCUAGUUAGUUGAAGCAUAAACUAGUGCAUGGGUUUAAGUAAGAAUGUGAUACGAAACAGGACAUGUUAAUUGGGCUAACUCCCUAGCAGUUAGAAUAUGAUAAUGGAAAUCGUACAUGCAUAAUCAAUCUAUACAUAUAUACAUAUCGAUAGUGUGUUAUCAGCGCGGUUCAACUUUUGAAGUUGAGGGCAAGUGGUAGGGUACUGAUUGUUUGGCAGAGAUCCAAAAAGAUUGAAACAUAAAUUUAAGAAAAUUAAUUAAUGUUAUUUGUUGGGAUAAUAAUAUAAUGUAGACGCUUCAUAAAAAUAUAUUAGCACCACUGCCUUUUUCCUAUACACGUGUGCAGUUCGGUGCUUCUACUGUAGAUGUCUACAAGGGAGAACGGCUUCAAUAUCUUGAAUGUACCGGUAUUCUGUUAUGUGGCGUGUUAUUAUUGGGACAAAUUAAUUAAAAGUUAAAAGGGAGAAUAUAAGAAGAGAUAAUGACAAUUAUCUCUAAAAAUAACCAAUUGUAGGCCUUAAUCUUAUUUUUAAAGAUCAUUAGAUAAUUAUUUCCACCUCUUGCUCACUUCUCCGGUCAUGCAAACCCCCCUCACCGGCGUCCCAUCAGAGAUCCAUUAGAUCCACUCCCUCGUCUGACCCCCUCCGUAUGGAGAGUUUUCAACUUGGCCGGUUCAGUGACAUUACCGUUGUAGGUGGUCAGAGCUUUUUGGUUCCUUUGUCGAAUAAAGGUAAUUUGCAAUAUGAAAUUACCUUUAACAAUCUAGAGAUUUCCUACUCUAGAAGUCUUUCUAAAAAUGUUUAAAUUUUAACUACUCAUAAUAACUAACCUAAUAAUCCUAGCCACACACUAAACCUACCAAGUGUACUAGUAUCUUCCUAAGGAGGUUGUAUUGUCCUAUAAAUAUGGAACCUCACUUUAGGCAAGUGUGAAGUGUAGAGAAACAAAACAAAUAAGAAAGAAGAAGUAGAGAGUGUUCGGUGAGGAGUUUGAAAGGUCUAAGUGACCAAGUUGUAACUUUUAUAAAAUUAAGUGAUUAAUCGAGUGAGUUAUCAAAAUACUAUCUUUUCGAUCCUAAAUUCCACUACAUUUCCGCUAGCGCCCCAACAUCCUUCUCGUCGUUACCGAUUGCGCUGUUACCGUCGCUGCCACCGGGAUAUACUUGUGUUGGCCAGCCUUCGAGCUAUGGGUCCAUCCCCUUCAUUCUCGCCGGGGCAAUCUGAUUUCGAUCAUCGGGUCCUUCCUCUUCGUCUUCUUGCUGUAGUCAUGUUGGCUUAUCUAGUCUAAACCUUUAUAAUCACAUCCUAAUACAAUGAUUCCUCCAAUUAACAAGGUUGAAUCUCCACCUACAGGUUCUAAUCCAGCCCAUACAUCAAGGGGUGCCUGUUGGAUUCCCCUGACGGGGUCGAGUUGGCUCAACUGAACGCAUAUCAUUCACAAUCUAUACAAAGGAUUUGAAUAGUCAGUUAACCUUAUGAACUGACUUUGACCGACUCUGACCGACUUAACGCAACAAGAUUUGAAUCUCCAUGCUCUUCUCUGCCAUCGAGUGAGCCACCUUCUGUUCAUGAUAACCAUUCGUCCAAGCCUUCAUGCUUAGCCGAGAAAGGUUGCCAUAGACGCCACUUCAAACACUGGUUGAAGAAUUGAACACUUCUUUCGGGAUCGGAACUUCGAGAACCAUCUCCAAUCCAUCUUCCUAAUCGUAGUUUGGACAGAGUUUCAUCAUUCAGAUGUUUCCUCAAUCAGACAGUUACAUCCUAUCGGAAUAGUAGAUAAGAAAUUAGGUUAGAGGAGAUUUAUCGACGACCGACGAGCCUGGGUUGAACUGAACUAUCAAGAUUGCCAAUUUUUCUGACUGAUUCAGGAAGAUAUGGAAAGCCGAAGAGUGAGGGGUCGAUGUCGGCUCUCCAACGCCGAGAAGAUAGCCUUGAAUGGCAUCAUUGUCGAUCGCCCUGGAGUGGAGGCUGGAAAGUGGAGACAAACAAAGUUGGAGCUGAGGCUGGAGGAAACGACUGUGACACCCCGAUUUUGGGUUGAUAGUUGAUUAUGGGUUUAAAUAUGAGUUCGGUGAAUUCUGGAAAUCGGCUGAUGAAUUGACAGUCACGGGCAUGACCGUCACUCUAUCACGGGCGUGGUUUUCAGAUAGACCACAAUCGUGGUCAUCAUCAUUCACAGACGUGACCAACAGGAGAUCAUGAUUGUGACAAUCAGUAGGUCACGAGCGUGGUUGCCAGGAAGCCACAUGCAUGGUGGUGAGUUGGCCACGGGCGUGGUGAACUUAUUAUAAAAACAAGAGUCGCAACCUGCAACAAAAAAUUACAUAAACCCCAAAAACUUAGAAUCACUCUGACGAACGAUGAACGACGAUCGAUAGCAAGAGGUGGAGAAGGUAGUAUGGAUCGAUCCCAUAUCAAUAGUAGAGGUGUAGAGAUUAUUGAGAAAGCUUUGGAAGGUCAUACGGAACUGGAGAUUGAGCUCUAGAGAGGCUUCUUCAGACCAGACUCUACCCAGAAAAGCUAAUAAGUGGUGGGGGUCUAGGAUUACUCUUAUGCUUUAAAGCAUAGAAGCAUAAUAGGUUCUUAGGAAUCCAAGGAUUGGAUUUUCAUGUGAUAUAGAGCUGGGAUCUCAUGACUGUACAAUAGUCGGUGAUCUACUAUGCAUGUGUUAUGAUAUGUUAUGAUACAGAGUCGGGCUCUAAUGACUGUACAGCAGCGUGUGAUCUACUGUACAGGUAUUAUGUUUUGAUACAGAAUCGGGCUCUCAGAACUGUAUAGUAGUUCGUGUUUACCUGUACUGAUAUUUAUGAUAUGAUAUAGAGCAGGCUUCUUAGAACUGCGAAGUAGCUUGUGAUCCACUAUACAUGCAUUUUAUAUGAUUUGAACAUAAGCUCAUAACAUUUGAACUGUGAUUCACAGUUCAUGAUUAUGACAGGUUCUGGUUUAGCUAGAUUAGCUCCUGAUAUGCGUUGGUUACCCACCCAUGGAUUGCGCAAUCCCACAAGAUGGUACUAUGGUUAUGUAAGAUGUGUUGAGUAUGCCUAUAGAUGCUGCUCACAUGGGAUAGAGGGUGGUUUCAUGGUCUGAUCCAUCAUGAGGCUAUCUACCAUAGCUAGGGGUGUCUGAUGAUAGGAUAAUGCCUACAGGACCACAUGGUCCCAUUACUAGAUGUCUUGCGAGUCUAGUUUAGCCACUCAGUGCUUAUCACGGACCCCAUCUCUAUUUUGUUGGAUGAUCAACUAUGGAACCUCAGGAGAAAAUGCCACCUAAGAGAGCUACAUGAGUAGAAAAACCUCAAAAGAGUGGCUUUGGGAGUCAUAGAGAGAGCUACCUUGGAGGACCUAAUAUAUCUCUUUUCAUGUUUUUAGCUAGUUUCAUGUUUUCGGCUUUUUCAGAUGUUUCCCAGUUGUUUUUAGUAGGCUUGGGAGUCGGUUAAUAACCAUCGAUUAACGGUUAAGGGAAGCGAUUUUUUGACUAAAUUUGGUAAACCGAAUUAACCGACCGAGCAGAGGUCACAGUUAUCCUGACUGACCGAUAACCGACCAGUCGGUUAAAUAACUGAAUUUAACCUACCGACGCGUUGGUUAAGUAUAGUAACUGAUUUUAUCGACACUGGCCAAUUUAGUGAAUGUUGUUGCUGUUGCUCGCCGAACGUUGAUGUCAGUGUUGCUGCUGCUGCUCAGCUCUCCGUCAGUCAAACUAGGACUUGGCACCUCGUCGUCGCCGUGAAUCGUGAGUAAUGACAAUUUGUUGUUGCUGUGUUGGACUGAGAGAGUGAAGAAAUUACUAGCGCCGAUGGAGAUCUAGGUCUUGAGUUGCUGCUACUAUAGUGUUAUCGAAGGCCUUGAGUUAAGCGAUGGGUUCGGUUCCAAUCGAAAUACAUGGAGAUGGAUUGAUGAAGUUGAUUGAAUGUUGACCUAAUUGUUAAUUUCACUGAAUGGGAAUGGCGGCUGCGCCACUGGGAGAUGGAUUUGCGAAUUGCAUUAUUUCCAGGGGUGAGGAUUAAGGAAGGAAGGCUGCACUGCACGACGUCAUUUCUUCAUAUAGAGGCGCCUUGGUUUUUUUAUUACUGGUUAACGUCGUUUAACUCUAGUUAACUGACGCUUUUAACCGAUUAUCUAUUUAGCCCAAAUCCAGCAGUCACUCUCAAUCGAUCCCCGACCGCCCUCAACCUCGAUUAAACCAUGCCUCUAACUAAGACCGAUUUUCCAGCCUUAGUUUCUAGUAGACUUAUCUCUGGAUGUUGAGAUCCCAUGUUUUAGGAUAUUUUCACAUUGUUGCUUAUACUUGAUUCAAGCCAUAGAUGCUCUGUUUUCUUUUCGCUGUCAUUUUCGUAUGUGAUGAUGUAUUUUAGGAUUCAGUUAUUAUGUGUAUGAUUAUGUGUAUUAUGUGAUGAGUGAACCCAUGAGUAAUGCAUGUAUCGAACAGUGUGGUUCGAUCGGGUUGUUUAGGAGCGGGUUUCACAACAGGUAUUAGAGCCCAGUUGUUCUCUACCGUGUGACUGUGUUUGCUGGUAUCAAGGUGUCAUGAACCUCAAAGUGACCAGUGCUCACAGUAGCUUAGUACGGUGUUAGGCGUCUAUAAGUUAUGUGUUUCUGUGAACUUUGAAAACAGGGAGUCAGCCCCGAGCGUGGCGAAAAGUACAUCACGGGCGUGAUGGAUAGACCACCACGGGCGUGGCUAAGAGUGUUAAGGGUCGUAACUUGUUGACAACCAAAUUUCUGGUUAGUUAUUGGCCAUGGGCUUAAGGGGAUGGUGCAUCACGAGCGUGGUCAUAUAUAUACCACGGGUCCGGUGAUACUAGUCACGAGCGUGGCCAGAUGUAAGCCAAGGGCGUGACCAAGGAUACACCAUUGUGUGGCUUUAAGUACACCACGGGCAUAGUUGAGUUUUGAACAAUUUUCAACGCUUUUCGGAAAUAGAGAUAAGGGAUGUUGUUACACCCCCAAUCAUAGCGAUAUAAAUUCAAUUUAGGAAUCCCUAAAUUACCCCUUAGAAUGUCCAAGAGAAAAUAGUUACAAGAAAAUAUUAGUAUCAUUAUGAGUAUUAAAUGACUAAAUUGCCCCGACCAAGGAACUUUAAAACAAAAAUAAAAGAUAUAAAAUAGAAAUCUUUAAAACAAGAGGAUAAACUUUUUAACUAGAAGCGGAAAUGGCCCUAAAACGUGGGCACUCAACAUUCGAAAUCAAGUCUGAAUAAAUAGCUUUAAAUACUUUAUUUCAAAUUUCAGGUCUAUACUUGCCACAUCCCGAAUCAGCUUCACUCUGCUCUUACAAUAACUUUCAAACACCCUAGUGGGUGGUUCAGGGUCAGCCUUUCGUGCUCUAAUCUUAACAAUCAAUAAUUAAUAAAAACGUGUUGCCAACAUAUUAUUCAACUUCAUCUAAUCAUAUAGAGCUAUUUCAUCUCUAGUCUUAUUCCACUGUUAUUAUUUCAUCUCGAGUACUAUUAUACUAUUAUUAAGGUUCUCUAACUUAUACAAAUAUCAUACAUCUAGGGUAUCAUGAUCAGAAAUCAUUUACUAACUCAAAACUAACUGGUCUUAACAUCCAGUUGACAGACUACUCUAAUAGCCCAACACUAUCAUAAGAAUCUCCAGUGGCCCAAUACCUAAUCAUAGAAGUCCCUAGUUGCCCAAUAUAAGUAUUGGAUCUCUAUUGGUCCGAGACCAUAAGCUGCCAACAUGGAUCGGAGGUCUAGUAAGAGGGGUAUGUAUUACUAGACCAUCUAUUAAUCGUCUAGACUUAAAGUAGUUCUUGUUGUUUGCUAGUUAUCUAAUCACAUCAUACUCUAGUUUAAUCAUAUAGGCACGUCAUAUGAGCAUCAUAACUGAACAAAGGAAAAAUAAGGACACAUAUAGAUUCAUAAGUACUAACUAAGUAACCAUGAGUAACCAUAUUACAUAAAGUAGCCCUCUUUAUGUAAUCCUAUCAUAAGUAAGAACUUAACAUGAUAAGUAAUUAAUCAUCAGCAAGGAAUCAUCAAUAACUAAUCAUCAUGAAAGAUAGCAACUAUAGUCAAUCAUGUUAGGGACAUUAUCAUAGAACUAUAGUUCUUGUAACUUGUCAUAUCAUCAACAUCAUUCAGGAAGUCAAUUUUCAUGACUCUAAUUCAUGUACUAUCAUUGACCUUAUCUAAGGUAUCUUAUUUCUUGCGGGGCGUCCCCCAACUCAACUAACUAACUCACCGCCCUAGCGUUAAAUAAUGGAGGUCUGGGAGUACAUAUCCAUCAUAUGGUAUCAUAAAUCAUAGAGGGCAAACUGUGGCCCGUAAAUCAUAAUGGGUAUAUUCCCAAAUCAUAGGGUCAACUGUGGCCCGAAUCAUAAGGGGCGAUGGUCUAGCUAGUGAGUUUCAUAUUAUAAAUUCACCUAUUACUCAUCUAGGUAAGGUGUUCUUGCUAGCUCAUACUGACUCGAUAUCUAUCCUCAUCAUAGUUCUCACGUUGUCGUUAGUCUAACCUUAUCAUAGUUCUAGCACUAUCAUUAGUCCAGCAUUAUCAUUAUAUAAGAGGCACAACUUGCACAACAUCAAAGUUAACAUAUAAGACAUAAAUAAACACCUAAUCAUGAAAAUCAUGGUAUCAAAUUGAUUAAAACCUCUACUAACCUACUGUAACGAUUAGUUACCCCCUUAAACCACCCACCUUAUUGACGAGCCAACAUCUCAGAAUUGUAUCCAAGAUGAUUCCCUUUGCUGCCACGAAUCCACAGUUUCUGACGGCGCGUCGUCUGGAGCUCAAACGGUCGAGUUAUGCUCCAAAUACUCCUUUGGUAAAAUGCUGAAACUGGCAGGGGUAGAAUCGACAUUUUAAUGCCCAGCUGGACAAAUCUCAGAAUCAGCCCACACCUUUCAGACUACUGCAGAACAUACCCUGAAUAAUCAACUAAUUGCAGAUCAGUCACCUAACUUCCAGAAAGUAUAUACUAGUCCCCAAACUUAUAAAAACUCCACAUGGGCACUUAACUUUCAGAAGUUGCAGAACCAUCACCAAACUCUCUGUAACUACUGGGUGGUCACCCUUAUUUUCCGGCGCGCUCCUUUCCGUCGACGAGCCAUGCCCAGAUUCCAGUGACGCCUCCGGCGAGGCUCCAAACUACUUGGAACUCCUCUUUUUAGCCUCGGCUCACCCUAACUCCUCCGUUCAAUGUCCUGACGACUACAUAACCCUUUUGACGGAUCGCUACAACUCCAUACGUUCCCUCGCCGUCAAUUGCACGCAGCCGCCGCCGAUCUCCUUCAAUCCUCCGACGGGGAUCGGGGUUGCCAUCUCCUCCUUCAAUCCUCGACCUUACUCCUCGAAAUCAGCGCAAAGCCUCUGCCUUCAAUAAAUCUCCUUGACUCCUGUCUUCAAGGUUCAAACUCGCGGCGCCCACUAACGGGGAGAUGAAGAUAAUUUCCCCCGCCGAGUUGCGGCUGUAAGGUUUUAUGGAGAAGAGGACCCUAUCAUUGAACCUCUCUUUCUUGAUUGAGUCUGAGGUCCUAAUAGCUAUUGGAUCAAUCUAACGGCCCAAGACUCAUCUGUUACCACCACAUAAAUUCAGGGCUUAAGCCCAUAGUCAACGACUGAAGUCCAAAAAAAGUGGCACCCCUGCUCCUUUACUUGAACGGAUUAAGUCAAAUGACCACUGUUAGAUUAAUCACACGGUUCUGAUCUCCUCCAACACAUAACUAAACAAAAUCACGGCUGGUCUCCAUCUCCGAUUGGUCAACCAAACCGAACCUCACCGAUCCCUUAGACUCAGUCAACCACACUAUCAAACUCCUUGGAUCCUCAAAUUAAUAAUUUAAUUUCACACCAAUUCACAGAUUCCAGUAGGCUCAUGACUUUGAUAAUUAAAUGGCUUAGCUCUAACUUACAUUAAUUAGUCAACAUGACUAAUUAAUCGAAAACUACUAAUGGUUACCACAGUCAACUAGGAAGUCAAACUUCUCAAAUUUAAUAUUCGAUUCCAAAUCAGGUUUCUACCCGACGAGUAGGAUAUUAUUCUAACAAAAAAUUCUAACUGCUAACCUAUCACUUACCUCAUGAACCGAUUCCGACUUAGAUCUAUAAAUCGUAAUUCAACAACCAAUUUAUCUAAUUUAAUCUAUUACGUUUUUAAUAAGCCGGACAUUUCUAAUAACUCACAAUUUGACUUAAUUUAUACGUAAACUAAGUGAUGACUAAACAUAAAAUUUUAAAUAUAAUACUCAAAAUGAUACUAAUAUUUUCUUGUAACUAUGUUCUCUUGGACAUUCUAAGGGGUAAUUUAGGAAUUCUUAAAUUGAGUUUAUAUCACUAGGAUCGGGGUGUAACAGAUGUUGAAUAGUACCUUCAUAUAUGUAGUGAUCGCCAGGAAUCGGUCGAGAUGACCAGGGAUCUGCCUGCACCUAAGCUGGAUUUCAAGGAGCUGACUCGUGUGGGCGCCAUUACUUUUGAUGGGGGAGACCAUGGAUCGGUAGUUAGUAGUUGAUUGGCUGAGAGACCUUACAAAUGCGUUCAGGUAUCUAAAACCUGCGCCAGAGUAGAGAGUGUUGUAUGUUGCAUACCUACUGAGAGGUAUAACAAAGGAGUGGUGGAGCAAUCUGUUGGAGGUUGAGGAUGAUCUAUUUGGGAAAGAUUGGAUGAAUUCCUAUUCCUUUUCAAAAACAACUUCAUGUCAGAGUACUGGCAAAAGAACAAAAGGGCUAAGUUUAUCAAAGUUCAUCAAGCUGUGACAUAAAGGUGGUUGAUUUCUAUAAUGCCUUCAUUAAGCUGUGACGCCCCGAUUUGAUGUCAGAGUUUUAAUCGUGGUUUUCUGAACUCUGGGAAUCGGCUGAUGAAUAGACAGUCACGGGCUUCACCAUCAGUCUGUCACUGGCAUGGUUGUCUGCGAGACCACGAUCGUGUUCAACAUCAGUCAGGAUCGUUACCAGAAAGAGAUCACGACCACGAACAUUUCUAGCACAAGGUUUGCACCAUCCUGAAGCUAUGUGCUCCGGAACCUGCGAGUGAUAGAGGUUGAAGUUUAACUUCUUAAUUGAUUCCUUAACAAAGUGUAUACGCAGGUACACAAGUAAGGAAUUAACCUACGCAAGUAUGAAGUGUAGCCGCUUCAAGAAACUUGGACUUGGUUUCGUGUGUGCUCGUGAGAGGAUUGGGACACAUGGCGGUCCAUAGUAUCAAGAUAUCUUAGAAUAGAUAGGAUAAACUCUUGUGUAUUAUCUUCAGAUACUCAAAUGAGUAGACGGGCAAUCCAUAGAGACACCCAUAUAUUCAAGUAUUUUGGAAUGUGUAAUAUACUAGAUGAAGAUUCAAUCUUCGUGACAUUUUCAUUGAUGCAAGAGUUUUCGUUUGGAUAUUUGUUGUAAUUUUAGCGAAAUCACAGACUUCACUAAAAUGGGGGAGGAACGUUGGAAAUAUGCACCAUGGACUUGACUUUGGUGUGAUACCAAAGUUAAGACGAAUAUGUGAGUUGAUGGAAAACCUUACUUUAGCUCAGGAGCUAGCUGAAACUUGCUAGCAUCAGCUCCUCGGUGAGCUAGAUGAAGUUAGGGACUGACACUGAAGCUCGUCCAGCUCAACCUUGAGCUGGAUGAUAGUGUCACGCUGCGAUGGUAAGCUGAGCUAUAGUGACGGUAGGGAGCUAGGUAGUUGGGAGCUAGGUAGCAGGAGUGGUAACACUCCCACCUAGGACGAAUGAGCACACACCCUUUCAUUUGAUUUAAACUCUUUCUGAGUUGUUUUCCCUCCAAAACCCGUGGGACUUCAUGGCAGUUGUCUACAAGUCUAUCCUUGGGGAUAAUGGUACCUCUUGGUGCAAGAUACUCACACCUUUUCGUCCCUGGACCCCUCUGCCUAUAUAAAGGAGGCAGUAGUGUGUCGAAUACACACAAGAAACAUAUAUCUAUCAUAGCCUACGAAUUCUAAAGUGACUCUAGUAUCUAAGUCUAAGAACUUGAGUGGAGACGGUCUUAUCCUUGGAAGAGAUUUCCUGAUACCCAAGGCUUGUAAGGGUGGAAAUACUCUUUUCGGAAAGUGGUGCCCACGAUUCUUUCUUUAUCCUAGAUCUCAUCACUUAUCAAAACUCGAAGCAUUGCUACUUGGAACCUCCUAAGCUAACACCUCCCACUACCUUGUCGGUCGCAAGUUUAUAGGUUGUUGUUCAUAGGAGGCUACGCGUUCGUAGCAACUUCUAAAGUGGUCGUCGCCAUCGAUAUUGGCGAUCUGAACCCAUCAACUAGAUCUCCAUUCAGCUUUGAAACGAGACAGUAUUUAUUGGAAGAUUUGCCACUUGGGACAACACCAGACCCAUCGCACUCAAAACGCUUGAUGAAGAGUAAAAAUUGACGACGGUAAAAUAAUUCAAUUCAGGAAGAAGAUACAAGGGAGGCGCGUGACAGAUCUAAUGUUUUAUUUCUAUUUUAAUCCUUUUUAAGGAUUUUUUAUUUACUUUCUAUUUUCUAACUUAUUUAUCUUUUUAAAAUUUGGUGUAUUUAAGAAAUCAUCACACUAUUUUAGUUAGCCGCACUUGUCUUAAAUCUUAAUCUUAAUUUCACCGGCUGGAAGGUGGAGUGAAUAUACUUUUUCCGGAAGGUCACACCCACACAUGAGGAUGAUACUCAUCCUCCAAUUGACGUUCAACGAAAAAACAGAUCGAUAAGCAUAAACCCAGUCAUUCCAAAAACUAAUCAACUUUGAAACUCUCCAAACACGAAAUCACUCCUAACAAAUGCAUCAACUGCUCAUAACACAACAUAUAGCUGAAAUCAAGCAACCCCAUUAAUCAAUCAUAUAGGCGGCCAAAACAGUAAGCCGCCCUCAUCGAAGCUACAAUCGAGGAUCUGUGUUUAUGGACCAUGGCAACACAGUAGAUACAUCUCUUGUAACAAAAAGUUCCAGCUCGAAACCCCAAACCUAAACCGUAAUUAUCAGCCGCACCAAAUACGAAUCUAAAUGAACUCGAAUUUCGGAGCAACAAUCGAUUACCUACAUUUAGAAUAAAGAAAAUACCUGGGUUUUUUGGAAGAAGAAUCGCGACGAUGAAAGGAUGCUUAGGAGACGCGAGAUUUUGAAUAACGAUCGAUCAUCGAUGUUAAUCAGGGGGAGGGGGAUGAAAUUCUUGCGAGAGGAAGAGCAGGAGAGAGACGAACAUUUCUG
rnacentral:lncRNA from 1 species